rnacentral:rRNA from 2 species
AUGCACCGAAGCUGCGGCAGCGACACUGUGUGUUGUUGGGUAGGGGAGCGUUCUGUAAGCCUGUGAAGGUGUGCUGUGAGGCAUGCUGGAGGUAUCAGAAGUGCGAAUGCUGACAUAAGUAACGAUAAAGCGGGUGAAAAGCCCGCUCGCCGGAAGACCAAGGGUUCCUGUCCAACGUUAAUCGGGGCAGGGUGAGUCGACCCCUAAGGCGAGGCCGAAAGGCGUAGUCGAUGGGAAACAGGUUAAUAUUCCUGUACUUGGUGUUACUGCGAAGGGGGGACGGAGAAGGCUAUGUUGGCCGGGCGACGGUUGUCCCGGUUUAAGCGUGUAGGCUGGUUUUCCAGGCAAAUCCGGAAAAUCAAGGCUGAGGCGUGAUGACGAGGCACUACGGUGCUGAAGCAACAAAUGCCCUGCUUCCAGGAAAAGCCUCUAAGCAUCAGGUAACAUCAAAUCGUACCCCAAACCGACACAGGUGGUCAGGUAGAGAAUACCAAGGCGCUUGAGAGAACUCGGGUGAAGGAACUAGGCAAAAUGGUGCCGUAACUUCGGGAGAAGGCACGCUGAUAUGUAGGUGAAGUCCCUCGCGGAUGGAGCUGAAAUCAGUCGAAGAUACCAGCUGGCUGCAACUGUUUAUUAAAAACACAGCACUGUGCAAACACGAAAGUGGACGUAUACGGUGUGACGCCUGCCCGGUGCCGGAAGGUUAAUUGAUGGGGUCAGCGCAAGCGAAGCUCUUGAUCGAAGCCCCGGUAAACGGCGGCCGUAACUAUAACGGUCCUAAGGUAGCGAAAUUCCUUGUCGGGUAAGUUCCGACCUGCACGAAUGGCGUAAUGAUGGCCAGGCUGUCUCCACCCGAGACUCAGUGAAAUUGAACUCGCUGUGAAGAUGCAGUGUACCCGCGGCAAGACGGAAAGACCCCGUGAACCUUUACUAUAGCUUGACACUGAACAUUGAGCCUUGAUGUGUAGGAUAGGUGGGAGGCUUUGAAGUGUGGACGCCAGUCUGCAUGGAGCCGACCUUGAAAUACCACCCUUUAAUGUUUGAUGUUCUAACGUGGACCCGUGAUCCGGGUUGCGGACAGUGUCUGGUGGGUAGUUUGACUGGGGCGGUCUCCUCCUAAAGAGUAACGGAGGAGCACGAAGGUUGGCUAAUCCUGGUCGGACAUCAGGAGGUUAGUGCAAUGGCAUAAGCCAGCUUGACUGCGAGCGUGACGGCGCGAGCAGGUGCGAAAGCAGGUCAUAGUGAUCCGGUGGUUCUGAAUGGAAGGGCCAUCGCUCAACGGAUAAAAGGUACUCCGGGGAUAACAGGCUGAUACCGCCCAAGAGUUCAUAUCGACGGCGGUGUUUGGCACCUCGAUGUCGGCUCAUCACAUCCUGGGGCUGAAGUAGGUCCCAAGGGUAUGGCUGUUCGCCAUUUAAAGUGGUACGCGAGCUGGGUUUAGAACGUCGUGAGACAGUUCGGUCCCUAUCUGCCGUGGGCGCUGGAGAACUGAGGGGGGCUGCUCCUAGUACGAGAGGACCGGAGUGGACGCAUCACUGGUGUUCGGGUUGUCAUGCCAAUGGCACUGCCCGGUAGCUAAAUGCGGAAGAGAUAAGUGCUGAAAGCAUCUAAGCACGAAACUUGCCCCGAGAUGAGUUCUCCCUGACCCUUUAAGGGUCCUGAAGGAACGUUGAAGACGACGACGUUGAUAGGCCGGGUGUGUAAGCGCAGCGAUGCGUUGAGCUAACCGGUACUAAUGAACCGUGAGGCUUAACCUUACAACGCCGAAGGUGUUU